rnacentral:rRNA from 1 species
UACGGAGGGUGCAAGCGUUAUCCGGAUUCACUGGGCUUAAAGGGUGCGUAGGUGGGCAGGUAAGUCAGUGGUGAAAUCUCUGGGCUUAACCCAGAAACUGCCGUUGAUACUAUCUGUCUUGAAUAUAGUGGAGGUGAGCGGAAUAUGUCAUGUAGCGGUGAAAUGCUUAGAUAUGACAUAGAACACCCAUUGCGAAGGCAGCUCGCUACACUGUCAUUGACACUGAGGCACGAAAGCGUGGGGAGCAAACAGG